CCUACGGGAGGCUGCAGUGGGGAAUAUUGGGCAAUGGGCGCAAGCCUGACCCAGCAACGCCGCGUGAAGGAAGAAGGCUUUCGGGUUGUAAACUUCUUUUGUCAGGGACGAAGCAAGUGACGGUACCUGACGAAUAAGCCACGGCUAACUACGUGCCAGCAGCCGCGGUAAUACGUAGGUGGCAAGCGUUAUCCGGAUUUACUGGGUGUAAAGGGCGUGUAGGCGGGGAGGCAAGUCAGAUGUGAAAACCACGGGCUCAACCUGUGGCCUGCAUUUGAAACUGUGGAUCUUGAGUGGGCGAGAAGUAUGCGGAAUGCGUGGUGUAGCGGUGAAAUGCAUAGAUAUCACGCAGAACUCCGAUUGCGAAGGCAGCAUACCGGCGCCCGACUGACGCUGAGGCACGAAAGCGUGGGGAUCGAACAGGAUUAGAUACCCCUGUAGUC
rnacentral:rRNA from 1 species